AGAGGGUAAUGGCCCUCAGUAACGGCGAGUGAAGCGGCAACAGCUCAAAUUUGAAAGCUAGCCUUCGGGUUCGCAUUGUAAUUUGUAGAGGAUGCUUUGGGUAAAACGCCAGUCUAAGUUCCUUGGAACAGGACGUCAUAGAGGGUGAGAAUCCCGUAUGUGACUGGAAAUGUUAACCUAUGUAAAGCUCCUUCGACGAGUCGAGUUGUUUGGGAAUGCAGCUCUAAAUGGGAGGUAAAUUUCUUCUAAAGCUAAAUAUUGGCGAGAGACCGAUAGCGCACAAGUAGAGUGAUCGAAAGAUGAAAAGCACUUUGGAAAGAGAGUUAAAAAGCACGUGAAAUUGUUGAAAGGGAAGCGCUUGCAAUCAGACUUGUUUAAACUGUUCGGCCGGUCUUCUGACCGGUUUACUCAGUUUGGACAGGCCAGCAUCAGUUUCGGCGGCCGGAUAAAGGCUCUGGGAAUGUGGCCUCCACUUCGGUGGAGGUGUUAUAGCCCAGUGUGUAAUACGGCCAGCCGGGACUGAGGUCCGCGCUUCGGCUAGGAUGCUGGCGUAAUGGUUGUAAGCGACCCGUCUUGAACAA
rnacentral:rRNA from 1 species